CCCUAGUAACUGCGAGUGAAGCGGGAAAAGCUCAAAUUUAAAAUCUGGUGGUCUUCGGCCAUCCGAGUUGUAAUCUAGAGAAGUGUUACCCGCGUCGGACCGUGUACAAGUCUCCUGGAAUGGAGCGUCAUAGAGGGUGAGAAUCCCGUCUUUGACACGGACUACCGAGGCUUUGUGGUGCGCUCUCAAAGAGUCGAGUUGUUUGGGAAUGCAGCUCAAAAUGGGUGGUAAAUUCCAUCUAAAGCUAAAUAUUGGCGAGAGACCGAUAGCGAACAAGUACCGUGAGGGAAAGAUGAAAAGAACUUUGGAAAGAGAGUUAAACAGUACGUGAAAUUGCUAAAAGGGAAACGCUUGAAGUCAGUCGCGUUGGCCGGAAAUCAGCCUUGCUUUUGCUGGGUGUACUUUCUGGUUGACGGGCCAGCAUCAGUUUUGACCGGUGGAAAAAGUCUAGGGGAAUGUGGCAUCUUCGGAUGUGUUAUAGCCCUUGGUCGUAUACAUCGGUUGGGACUGAGGAACUCAGCACGCCGCAAGGCCGGGUCUUUGACCACGUUCGUGCUUAGGAUGCUGGCAUAAUGGCUUUAAUCGACCCGUCUUGAAACACGGACCAAGGAGUCUAACAUGCCUGCGAGUGUUUGGGUGGAAAACCCGGACGCGUAAUGAAAGUGAAAGUUGAGAUCCCUGUCAUGGGGAGCAUCGACGCCCGGACCAGAAGUUCUCUGACGGCCCUGCGGUAGAGCAUGUAUGUUGGGACCCGAAAGAUGGUGAACUAUGCCUGAAUAGGGUGAAGCCAGAGGAAACUCUGGUGGAGGCUCGUAGCGAUUCUGACGUGCAAAUCGAUCGUCAAAUUUGGGUAUAGGGGC
rnacentral:rRNA from 1 species